rnacentral:lncRNA from 1 species
AAAAAGGAAAAGUCAGAGGGAUGAGCUGAGAAAAGUGUCCUUUUGGACAAAAAGUUCACUGAGAAUAUGUAGCCCACAAGAGAAUAUAGACUAGUCAUGAAGUGAGAGAGAUGAAUGUAAGACAGUCUGAGAAGCAUGCUAAAAAUAUAUUACUAUCAAAAUAUUAAUAGAACAAGAAGAAGAUAGAUCUACAUCAGGUGGAUUUAAGGAAAUACAUGGUCAAGACAUGUGUUGAGUGUCACAAAGACAGAGAGACAUUAGCACUCUGAAGGCAUUUGGAAAACUAGAUUGAGUCUGGGAGGUUGCCUGGUGAGUUCAAGAAGUCCAGAGAUCUUGGAUCUCUCAGUCAGAGCUGGCUGGCAGCGUGAA